CAAUAGUGUAUAUUAAAGUUGUUGCAGUUAAAAAGCUCGUAGUUGAACUUCUGACAGUGUGCAGUUUUGGCUUCGGUCAGGCUGUUCGCUGUCAUCCGUCUGCAAACCUUGUUCGACCUUCACUGGUACGGCAAGGGGAGUGGACAUUUUACUUUGAAAAAAUUAGAGUGUUUCAAGCAGGCAAUCGCCAGAAUACUUUAGCAUGGAAUAAUGGAAUAGGACUCUUGUCCAUUUGGUUGGUUAUUGGACAUGAGUAAUGAUUAAUAGGGACAGUUGGGGGCAUUAGUAUUUAAUUGUCAGAGGUGAAAUUCAUGGAUUUAUUAAAGACUAACUUAUGCGAAAGCAUUUGCCAAGGAUGUUUUCAUUAA
rnacentral:rRNA from 1 species